rnacentral:rRNA from 1 species
AUGUCAACGGCCAGCUUCCGCUUCCGCCGCCGCCUCCCCCGCCCGCCGCGGCCAUCGCUGGAUGACGACGACCUGCUCUCCGAGAUCCUCCUGCGCCUCCCCCCGCGGCCGUCCUCCCUCCCGCGCGCCUCCCUCGUCUGCAGGCGCUGGCACAGCCUCGUCUCCCACCCCGCCUUCCGCCGCCGCUUCCGCGUCCACCACCGCCGCGGCAGCCCUCCCCUCCUCGGCUUCUUCGACGACCACCACAGGAACACCUUCCAGCCGGCGCUGGGCGCCCCCGACCGCCUCCCCCGCGGCCUCUUCUCCCUGGAGCUCGACGGCAGCUACACGACCCUCGGAUGGCGCCACGGCCUCGCGCUCUUCUUCUUCCCGGUCUCGCUCCAGGUCCUCGUCUGGGACCCCGUCGCCGGCGGCCAGCAUCGCCUGCCCGUCCCCCCGGAGUUCCGCCUGGACCUGGUGGUGGGCAGCGGGGCGGUGCUUUGCGCUGCCACUGCCAGAGACGCCGGCGACCACUUCCAGCCAGGUGGUCCUCGUAGUCGUAGGCAGUGA